AUAAUUCUGUUGCAUAAUUCAAUACAAAUUCUAGUACUGGAUAGUUCAACUACUGAAUAGUUCUACUACUGGAUAGUUCUGCUGAAUAAUUCAAUACAAAUUCUAGUACUGGAUAGUUCAAUACAAAUUCAACCAUUACAUACUUAAAAUUCAUCACAGAUCUCCUUCAACUUCUUCACCUUGUCCUUAUAGCCAUGGUUUUGUUUCA
rnacentral:lncRNA from 1 species